rnacentral:lncRNA from 1 species
AGAUGCAGUCGGUAUUUCCCCCUCUCAUUUUUCUAGCCCAUUCAGCCUUCAUCGAUAUCUUACCCCAUCUAGCCCUCCAUAAUGUUAUGCUAAAUUUCCUAAUUCUAGUGGUCCAUACCCCCUUCCAAAAUUGAUCGAUCUCUUUUCUAUUCCUUAUGGAUUCCCAAGCGUUCUUGUAUGUUGGUGAGGUACCACUCCCGGUCCAAGUACAAUUGUAGUUUGACCCACAUUUUAGGACCUUAUCUGUAAUAACCUGAAUUUUCUUAAUUUAAAUAGGGUUAUUCCCAAAUUUAAUUAAACAAACAACCAAGAUCCAUAUGCCCGAAUGGGCGUACACAACAAAAUCAAAGUACUAGCGGAAACCAAAUAGACUCUUUGUUUAACUAAUAUCCUAGGAUCCCAUUCAUGUGUGAAACCCUCUGUCCAGUCCAUUCCAAGCCAUCCCUUAUUCUGCAAUAAAAUAUCAUUUACAUGGGUAAGUUUCAAAAACUUAGUACUUGAAUAUAUAAUAAAUCUUAUGGUUCAUGAAUUUCUUUUAGGGCAUAUCAGCCCUCCUUGGUUACCAAUAGAGGUUCUUAUGAACCCCUUUUUCCUUUACAUGGGUCAUCGAGUAAACCCUGGCCAUGCUGUCAGACCCCGUCGGGUCAUGUAGCCUCGUCAGGACCGUUAUGUUCCUUUUAUUUCAUGUGUCGUCAAAUCCCUAAGGAUCCGUAAAUUUCGUAUGAUUGAGCAUGAGUGAGGAGAGAUUGAGUGAUCCACUCAAUCCAAAUCUUGGUCCGUAACCUUGGUGCAUCUUCAGUGAAUAGAGAGGAGGUUAGAUUGAGUGUCACCCUGAGGACUUGCUCGAUCUUCUCCUUUCGUCGUUCACCCCUAAAUCCCUAACUUCAAGGUUUGGGUUCCUUUAGGAUUUAACCCGAUGGUGGAUGGGAAUAGUUCAGGUCGAGUGCCAUUCCAAAAACCGGCUUGACCCGCCCCUUUCGUUGUCCAUUCCUAAAUUCAUCCGAAUUUAGGGUUAGGGUUCUUUAGGUUUCAUUGAUUUUUCUUUUAUACUUUUAGUUAUUAGAUGCAAAGAAAACUCAAAAUUAAAAUAAAACCCGAAAUGUCAUUUAAAUCCUCGAGAAAUAAAACGGUUUGCAUUAGUAAAAAUCAAACUUUUAAAUCGACUAAGUUUGAGUUUAAUUUAGCUCUCGUUCGUUUAACUCAACCUUUGAAAAGAAAACGCAAACCUUUAAAUUUACUCGACUACCACCCUGGAAUAGGCGGUAGGUGAUACGUUCGAUCCUCUACAUUGUAUUUAACAUUAAAUUAUUUAUUUCCUGAUUUCCAUCCACGUUUAUUAUUUCUUUCCAUGCAUGUUGAUUUAGCAAUUUAUGAUUUGUUUUCAGAUUUGUUAGUAUUUGUAAGGCUAUAUAAAGCCACAUUAGUAUGGAAUAAAGGAAUCAAUCUUGAGUAUUAUAAUUCCUUUCAAUUGUAAGAGAUCCGAGAAGCUCUGGUCUCCCUUCCCCUGGUACGAAGCGUAUCAGUAGGUCUAUAGAGUUGACGCUUAACCUCAAACAACCCACCCAACUAUUCAGGCCCAUCUCUUGAUUUUAUUGGUUAAAAUCAACCAUGUGGGUGUCCCAUUUGGGUGUCUAAGGCUUAAGCAUGAGCUUCUAGUCCUAGGGAAGCGCAAAUCUUGAACUUGGAGACCUUGUGAAGCCCAGUCAACGAUUAUAAUCCCGUGUUCAUAAGGAUUUUUGAUGUCCAAUAAAAUAAUUUAAAGAACAAAAAUCAGAAACCAUAACUCAAGAGAUGGCAAAAACCUAAAAUAUCGCUUAAACCACAAGGACAAGAAGUUCAUUUCUUCUAUUACCCAGUAGAAAUACUGAAAUAUCUAACAGAAAAUCAGAAGACAAAAAGUCAAAAGACCAGAAAACAGAAAAACAAGAACAGAAAAACAGAACAGAAAAACAAACAGAAGAAAAAGAAAAAAGAAGAAGAAAACCUUAACUUCCCUUGAACCAAAAAUAAAAAAUCGAACAACAACUUUGUUGUACGAAACCAGGCCUUUAAUCUCCCAAUGAAGAUACAAUCCGUAAACCAAAAAUCAUUCAUAUCCUUACAUCAUUUCAUUUCAUUUUUAAUAACAAUACUUCAUACUAAAAUAUUCUAGUAGAAGGAUUGAAUAUAUCCACGUACCUUGAUCUCCUCUUAGUGUUUUCUCCUAACACUUGCAAGCCCUAACCGAGUCCUUCCCUUCCUCUUCCUUCAAAUUUCCGUCCCCCCUUUUCUAUUUUUAACACCUCCUAUUUAAAGAUUUAACUCUAUCCUCAAUUUCGUCCAAAUCUUUCCUUUAUUUCUACCUCAAUCAAUUAAGAAUAUUCUCUUUAAUUGAUUCUUUUGACCCAUUUGCCCCUAUUUUAAAAAUGGUCCCUUCCUUUAAUUUAAUUGACUAAUUUAACCUUAAUUUGAAAUUAAUUAAGAAUAUUCUUUUGACCUUAUUGACCUUAUUGCCCUUAUAUUAAAAAACGUUUUUUUAAUCUAAUAGACUAAUUUAUCCUUACAUUGAAAUCUUAUUUAUUUUCUUAUUUAAUUAAACCAUUUAGAUUCAGCCCAAUUCGAAUAGGUCCACUAGAUUUUAUUUACUUAAGUUCAGCCCAUCUUAGGCCUCAUCCAUACUUGACUAACCUACUUAUUAAAUUUAAUUAGGCCCAGACUAAUUAGGCUGAGUUGCUCUAGUUUUUCCCUAUUUUAGCUAAAAAUUUCCAAUUUUUGCUCCUGUAAUUAGGGUUUUCUUUUACUAUUAAGACCCCUAAUUUUUCCAGAAUAUCACAUUAUCUAUCUUGUAUUUGUUAUCUAUUAUUCCAGCCCAUAGGGCGGAAUCUACUCUUCGAUACUUAUCUAUAUCUCUAAGGCCCCUUCCCCUAACAUUCCUCUCUCUCAUCCAUGAGGCCCAGAUAGAGUCCUGAGCUGACCAGAUCUUUCCCAACCUGGUUAUCCUAGCUGCCUCUGCUGAUUUUAAGAAGCAUCUCAUCGGCCAUUCUCCUUGGGCAAUCUCAUUUGAACCCAAGUAAAGUCUUGCUUCCUGUUCCAUAUGUACCUAUAUGAAAUGGAUUGCAAGUCCUUAAGUAUUUCUUCAUGUAGCCUACUAGACAUAUUUCAGUUGUUGAAUAUGCACAUUAUUCUCCAAUGGAACAGUUGCACCCUCCCUGCAUGGAACAACAGUCUUGUCUUCCACCCUUUUACAAUCCCAUUAACCCGAUUUAUCAAAGGAGUGCAAUCCUUUUGAUAUAGAAUCCUUGGUAAAAGAUGUAACCCUAGAUAUUUGGUUGGAAAUUAAAGGUCCCCUCACUGAACCUUAAUUAGAUGGGUCAACAGUUCUUCUCUGCCCUUGGUUGAGUUUGAAAAAAAGAUCUCACUCAUUGCCUCGCUUACCCUUAGUCCAGUCUUUGACUCAAAUAUCAUAAACACCUCAUUUAUGGAUUUGAAGGAUUUCUUUUUGGCUUUGCAGAAGAUUAGGAGGUCAGCUGCGUAGACCAAGUGGGAGAUCCCCAUAGCGUUGUGUUUCUUAAAGGUGCUUAUCUGUUUUCUCCCCACCCUCUUGUUGAUGAGAAUUGUCAAAUUCUACAUCAGUAGUGUGAAGAUGUAGGGGGAGAGGGGAUCCCCUUGCCUUAUUCCUCUCUUGGGUAAGAUCUGUGGGGUUGGUGAUCCAUUCACCAAAAAGGAUAGGGAUGAUGUAGUUAUACACAUGCUAAAAUAUUCUAGUAGAAGGAUUGAAUAUAUCCACGUACCUUGAUCUCCUCUUAGUGUUUUCUCCUAACACUUGCAAGCCCUAACCGAGUCCUUCCCUUCCUCUUCUUUCAAAUUUCCGUCCCCCCUUUUCUAUUUUUAACACCUCCUAUUUAAAG